UUGCAUGUAGUAGGCAUGCAACACGGAGUUUCAUUCUGCUUCAUGAACGUUUGCUUUUCCUAUCAGGACAGUAAUGAUGACACUGAAGAUGUUUCACUGUUUGAUGCAGAAGAGGAGACAACUAGUAGACCAAAAAAGUCCAAAAUCAGACACCCAGUGGCAUCAUUUUUCCAUUUAUUCUUUCGAGUCAGUGCAAUUAUAGUCUAUCUUCUCUGUGAAUUGUUCAGCAGCAGCUUUAUUGCCUGUAUGGUGACAAUUAUCUUGUUGUUGUCAUGUGACUUUUGGGCAGUCAAGAAUGUCACAGGUAGACUAAUGGUUGGCCUGCGCUGGUGGAAUCAUAUUGAUGAAGACGGAAAAAGCCAUUGGGUGUUUGAGUCCAGGAAGGCCUCUCCUCAAGACAGUAAAACUGUUUCAGAGGCUGAAUCAAGAAUCUUCUGGUUAGGACUCAUUGCCUGUCCAGUGCUGUGGGUAAUAUUUGCCUUUAGUGCCCUCUUCUCCUUCAGAGUGAAGUGGUUGGCGGUGGUUAUCAUGGGUGUGGUGCUGCAAGGGGCCAACCUGUAUGGCUACAUCAGGUGCAAAGUGGGCAGCAGGAAGGAUUUAACCAGCAUGGCUACGUCGUACCUUGGAAAGCAGUUUUUAAGACAAACCACUGGAGACGAUCAGACCUCCUGAAGAGAGUGAGGCAGCCUGCAUGUUCUUUCCAUUGGGAACAACUGAAGGGGGUCUUGACUUUCAACCUUUAGAACUCAGUACCUAUUGCAAAGAGGAGUGUUGGGUGACGAAACAGGACUUCAGGUUAUUGACUGACUUGCCCAAGGAGACACUGAUUACAGGAAGACCCAUCAGGACAUAUUACUGAUUUUAGAGGAAAUAUUUGUCUCUAAAUGUCCUUUCCUUUCGUACGAAUCAUUAAUUUACUAAGUCAUUAAUUUGGUAAGUGCUUGUUUCCCAUUUUAUUUAUACUUGUCUGGUGAGGAAAGUGGUUGCUGAGUAAAUGUUUUUAUUUAACCUGAAAGAUCUGGUGUCAGCCUAUAGAGCUGAGAGUCUCAUGGGGGGGUUGCUCUUGAGGUAACUAUUGUUAUUUGAGGCUGCAAUCCUAAACCAAAUAUGAAUUGAAUUUUGGAAUAUGCACGUGGCAGGACCUACUGUUUAUCCCCCAAUAUUCAUUUUUCCCUUCUAUUCAUUUCCCACUUAUUAGCCAGGACAUGGCAACAAAGACGGUUUUUCCCAGAUUUUCCUGCUGCACUUUGGCUACGCUUCCAGGAAGUAUUCUUAGAAGGCCGGCAUGCGCGUCCCCUCCCCUUUUCACCCCCCUUAGCUGAAAUGUAGACAGACUAGAUGGUGCUCGAACAGCUGUCACGGACAGUGGGGUGGAAGCCUCAUUUUGAGAACAGCAGAGAAAUAAGGUAGAGAUUGAGUUCCCUCUGAUGGGGCCAGCAGCCCUGAACUGCCCGUCUGAAUUUUUAAGCGAGAAACAAACUUCUGUCUUGUCUAAGUGUUAUUGCUUUGGUUUUUCUGUUGCUGCAGCCUAAGUGAAUUCUUAUCAAUACAGUAUAUUUUCAGCAACCCCCAUAAUUGUUUCCAUGAGUAUAGUAUUUGAGAUGUAAUAGUUCAUCAAAUACAUAUUUGCUCUUUGUGAGGUAAUUAAGCUAACAUUAUAGAUGCUAACAAGUCCAGCUGUUCCAGAUGCUGUUGCUGCAUAAAAAUUCACCCCAAAACUUAGCAGUGUAAAACAGUCAUUUUCUUACGCUUACACAAGCUGUGGGUCAGGAAUUUGGGUGGAGCGCAGUGGGGACAGCUUUCCUCUGCUGCGGUCUGGGGCUCGGCUGAGAUUUGAAGGCUGAGUUUUGCACACUGGCCGGGAGGCAGGAAACAUCUGGGGGCAUCUUCACGGGUCUGGAGAUUGAUGGUGGCUGUCAGCUGAACCUCAGCCAGGUUGCUGGUUGGAACACCUACAUUUGUGACCUCUGGGUCGUCUCUCUGUGGAGGCUCAUCUGGGCUUCUUCACAGCCUGGCAGCUGGGGUCUAAGACAGGCUUCCCCAGGGAAUCAGAGAAGUGUGUGACGUUUUUAUGACUAGUCUCGGGGUCCACAUGGUGUCACUUCUGCCAUACCCUGGUUGAAGCGGCCACUAAGGUCCCCCUGAGUUCACGGGGAGGAGACAUAGCGGCCGUCUUUGGAAAGUAAAAUCUGCCACACAUACUUUAAUCGUUUCGAGACUGGAAAACUACUUGAAGAGACUGAGGGUAGCGGGUGUUGCUUUCUUUAUCAUCGUCCCUGGUCAGCCUUGAGCACAGGUGAGCUGACUUAGUGGUGCCUU